AGCGAUCGCCAAGCGAAAUCCGCCCCAGCUCAGCCAGCCGAAUAGCGCACCUCGACCUAUAUUCAUCAUCACAACAUCCGGCCGCCGCUCAGCUCCGCUGGUGUUCCAUGUGAUAGAUGUAAUGCUUGAGAGGUCACUGGAGCUGUAAUUCAGUGUGCAAACAUCCAGGCCUCGUAGUCCAUCUGAUGAAAUUAUGCGGCUGACUUCAUAAGGUUCUACAAGAUCGUGUAAGCCUAGCCUGCAGUUACACUUCACCUCUCUGUGGUUUGGUGUCGGAUAAGCAGUUACUAAAGGAUUACAAAGAGGCUGCAUGUGAAUGGUAAGUCAUUUUUAGCUAAUUAACAAUAAUAUCAAGGUUGAUCACUAAUGUUAACUGGGUCUACUUAACUAUCUCAUGUUUGCUGUCCCCAAUCUCCCCAACUCUUCCUCUCUCUCUCUCUCUCUCUCUCUGUCUCACCCUCUGUUUUUUUCUCUUUCGUUUUGAUGCAUCCUUUUCUGUCGAUAUUUAUCCCAUCUUUGCCUCUUGAUUAUUUCACACCAAGGUAAACUUAAGGCCAAUGGCAUUUCUUUUUAAUGAAGACAUGGGUCUAGACCCCAGAGUGUAGUCUGUUCAGAAAUUGUCAAUUUCAUCUGAUGUUAGCAGCACAUCCUGAUACUGCUCUUAUAUUUCAAUACCUGCUAUCUUACAUACAUUUUCAUUUCAGCAUGCUAGCCAUGCUAUUUUUUCUCUAGGGUAUUAUAUUUUUUAGGGUAGGGUAUUCUAACUUGUGCUGGAUGACAGUAAAUGUUUCUUUUGCUGCAGCACUCACCGAUGACGUAUCUUGUUCUGUUAGCAUUCUUCCUGCAAUCAUAAAUCUUGCGAUGUAAAGAAAUCCAUGACUUUAUUUGGAGUGACAUGGAGAAACCAUGAAGGAGUCGUCUUGUGGACCACUUUGUGAAACAGUCAACCUUUGUGGCAAGGUGUAACAAGAUUUGUGGAAAGGUGUAACAAGAUUUGUGGAAAAGGAUGUGCCAUUUUAGAAGUGUGUGCAUUUAAAUGUGCUACAAGAGGUCUUUAUUCCCUGGUGCCUAUUCCAGACACAGUGAUGAUUAAACAAAAUGGAGAGAAUACAUCAAGACGUGAAAUAGUAGUCACAGAAACACAAUGUCACAUUCAUGGAUUAAUCUUUGAUUGUGGAUGUAAUCAGAGAGAAUCGAACUCAUUUCCAGAGAUUAUAACAUGAACUUGAUUCUAUCUAGAACAGGGUUGUUUUACUUUUGAAGUGACUGGAUGUUAUGUCUAGCUCUUUUGAUCGUGUCAUUACUUACAAAAGGAAACAUUUGCAGUUGAAACUUGAACCAGGUGCCAGCAGGAUUCUCAAGCAUGAUAGAUGCUUGUAGUUUUAAGUGUAAUCUUGAGUCAUUUAUUUAGAUUGAAUUAUUGUUUGACUCUUUCUACAUCUCAUGUUUACUGUUAAAGGCAGAAUGCAUGUUUUGACAGCCAAUUAUGUUGUGUUACUAAUGAGCCUACCAUGUAUUGGGAAUUAAAUUCCUCAACGUGUUCUAUCUCUAUCGCUUCCCCCUCUCUCUACCCACAUCUCGCUCGCUUCGUACCCUUGCUCUGUC